ensembl:snRNA U2 U2 spliceosomal RNA
AUCGCUUCUCGGCCUUUUGGCUAAGAUCAAGUGUAGAAUAUGUUGGUUUCUUUCUCGUACUAUAACUAACACAGCUUCUCUAAUUUGUAUUUCAGGGGGAAAAUAUUUUUUACAGACUUGGUGUUUUACAGACCUCUU